rnacentral:snRNA from 1 species
AUCGCUUCUCGGCCUUUUGGCUAAGAUCAAGUGUAGUAUUUCUUCUGUUUAGCAUAUGAUAGGAAUUCAGAGUAUCUUAUGACUAACUGCAUAAAAACAGCAAAAGGAAAGCAUUUUAUUAUUCAUAAUAAUCAGAGAAUGAACUUAU